UUGUAUAUUUAUGUAUUGAUGCUAUUUUAUUUAGUGUUAUCUGCAAUAAAAAUAACAAAUUAUGUAAUUUAUUGUAUUUAUAUGUCUAAGUACCAUAAAAUGGCCACAUUGGUGAAUGACGCCCAAACAUUGUAAGGAGAGUACUGUGGAAACUUUCCAAAUUCAGUUGAUGCAAGGUUUCUAAGUUCAGUGUUAUAUGAACCAAUCUCCACAUCGUUAUUUGGUAAAUGGUUAUGUUCGUGGAGGGAUCUAAUUGGUGCAUUUUCUGGCACUAACGCCAUGGAUGCAGUGCCCCGACAGCCAGACUCAUAGCGAGUACAUCUUAAUUGCCUGAAAUAAAAGAUAUCAAAGUCAUACCUACUAUUGGUAGAACUUUUAUUUUGUACGUAAGUAAAACCAUUAUCAGCCAAGUACACUGGUCUACCCCGUACUCCGGGUACUGUGCUUGAAACAGUUCCAGUGCUUAACACAUCAAAAACAUACCGUAUUGGAGACCGA